AGUACCCUGGUCGGCUUACGUCCCUAUCACGGUGCGUGGACAGGAAUGCGUGGGCCGAUCCCGGAGAUAGUGCAAUACCGGGCUGACCCGCGGUGGAGGUGAAGCAAGCUUCGAGCACUCCGCCAACUUCCAAAAAUAGGUUUAGUUUCUUGGGUCCAAAUAGAACCACAUAAUUUCGGCGUUGUAAG
rnacentral:lncRNA from 1 species